rnacentral:rRNA from 1 species
UACGUAGGCAGCAAGCGUUGUUCGGAGUUACUGGGCGUAAAGAGUGCGUAGGUGGUGCCCUAAGUCUGUUGUGAAAAUCCUCCCGGCUUAACUGGGAGGUGCGGUGGAAACUGGGGUGCUUGAGUGUGGGAGAGGUAAGCGGGAAUUCCGUGGUGUAGCGGUGAAAUGCGCAGAUAUCAGGAGAACACCCGUGGCGAAGGCGGCUCUCUAGUACGGUACUGACGCUGAGACGCGAAAGCGUGGGGAGCGAACAGG